ACGAUCGUACAUAAGCGAACAGCUGUUAUGUUGUUGCUAAGCCGGAAACAAAGCAUGUGAAUGUUUUUUUUGGCACAGCGUCGUUUGGAAAGUGCACUUCCUUGUUCUGACCUUGCCUUUUAUGGGCUGGAGCGAUAUGAUUCGUGAAUAUGCCACGGCGAAGUUGUCGAAGAUGCGACAGUGCUACGCUGUUAGAACAAUUCAUCGGAGCAUUCAAGUGUUACCUAUUAUAAGCUUCGAAAAGACCAAGCAGCGCGAAGCUCUUGGCUGACAGUGGUGCCUGCUAAUUUCCACUGCAAGGAUUUCGUCCACGAAUGUUAUCAUAGGUUACGCGUGACUCCAGAGGCAAUUUGGAAUCUCGGCACGAAAUCGUCUGAUGAAAAUCUGAGGUGCCCGACGUAUAACAUUUUGAACGUGCCACGGAGGAUCAAGGCAAAAAACGAGAGCAAAAAAAGGUGCACGCUGAAGGCGGAAAUGAAGCAUGAUCUGGCUUGCAUCUGGUCAUGAAGAAAUUGCUGACACGUUAGUUGCAGUCCACCUCCACCAACAGGGCGGAAAACAAAGGUCGCCAUUCCGAUUAGCUGCUAUCUCCCAGUUCAAGCACUUUUGUGUCUGGACACUGGUUCCUGUGGAUGGGGUGUUACAAGCUUCACUGUCUGAUAUAGAAGACUCAGAACGGUUAAUUUGGAUCAGGUCAGGUACGUUUCAUUUAGACAUGGCAAACAUAAAGUGGUGUUUCUCAACACAACUUAGCAGUGGUCUUCAUGCAUUACUGCUACGAAACCUGCACAUUAUCCAUGAUGUAAAACCCCAAGACUAGGGAACACGAAGGGACAGACACAAACAUGUCCCUUUGUGUUCCCUAGUCUCGGGGUUUUACAUAUGCAUCAUCUUCACCAGCUCGCUUGCUUGCAGCCAUUUUUUCUGCACAUUAUGUUCACUCUACUUUUAUCGUGUGCUAUAUAAUCUUGUUCAAGUUCCGUCAAACAACCUGUAAUGCUAUAAAAAAAUUCAGUACACUGUUUUGUGGGUUGAAUGGUAGUGCAUGAAUGCAGGAAGGAAACUGUCAUGUUAUGGCAAGUGUUUACGUAUCGUACAUUUAACUACUAAUUCUAUUGGUUAGCUUUCGCUGGCGUAUCAUGUCAAGCCGUGUUAUAUUAAUUUGGAACAUGUUCUUCUUAGUAGCCAGAGCAGCUGAUACACACAGAGAACAUAGCCCGUGUGUGUUUGUCUUUUCCACCGCAGCCCUUGGGUUUCCUCCCUGAUGGCUACACUUGUCAGGGAUAGGUUUCAGAACCGGUAGUUCCCGCCAAGUGUGAAUUGCUUUUCAGGGGAUCAUCACGCUGGCAGAUGAAACAUAUGGUUUAAAUUAUUUGCAGGACAGGAAUUGCGUAGCUUCACACAAAUACUACUACUACGAAGUAAGAGUGGUUUCAAAUCUAGCUUUUUUGUGUUCCUGACAUUAUCGCACGAGAUGUAGUAUCCACUAUGAUCCUUUAUGUGGGGGGUAUGUACAGUGCAAUCAACAGAUGCUAUUUACAAAUCUGUGUUUUCUACUGUGUUGAAAUGGGGUAGUUUGUAUCUGAGAGCCAUAGUGAAACACAGGCCCUCGAGAAACAUGGCAACACAUUGCAGGGACUCUGGAUGCUGCCUAAAUUUCUAGAACACACAGCUCAAGGCAGCGGUUAAAUAACAAGUGGUUAGAGAAAUCCAAGAUAGUUGCAUCCGUAAGCAGUCCGCUGUUGGAUUUGCUAGAGAUACGUUAUCUCAAAGGGAACGCACGGACACACUCAGAAUGAUACUAGCGCUGCCUGUGAAAUAGAAUGAGGAGAGGGGAAGAUAUAUAACCCUUUUUCUUGUCUGUUAUUCUAUUGGUUAAAUUGUCAUUUUCUUAGCAGCAUAUGUGUGUAUAUUCCAGAGUUUGCUAAUAAAUAUAUCAGUUUAGAGCUAGCAGUCGCAUUGUAGAUGUCUCAUCCUGUCCUUGGUUGCUUGUGAUUCACUAUGGCCAUGCUUGCUAUUGCAAAAACAGAAAACCAAAAAAGGCAAUAGAAAAACACGGAAAGAGCGACCUAAAAAGCUGCCUGUUCUAGUGCUCACAUGGAAGCAAUGCAAUGAGGUAACAUGUUCCAUUCAUGAACUGUGCAUAGUACUAGUACAUAUCACAAAGGCAACCGAUUAUUCAGAUUUUUCUUAAAGUGCUUUGUUUUUUUUUAGCUUUAUUUGCACAGUCUAUUAUUGGAGCUUUAUGUGAUUCCCCUCUUCAGAUACUUUAAGAUUGCUGAUGCUGUGCAGUUUGUUAAUUUUGAAACUGUACUGUGCUGAGGUACAACAACAGAAUUGUCAUAUCUGCAUUUGAGCACAUAGGAAUAAUUUGUAAGUAACUUAUUGACAUUAAU